GCCUCGGUGGUGUAAUGAUAGAGCACGUGUCCCCGCUUAGGAUGAAACGCGAGUUUGAUUCCUGCCUGAGGCC